ensembl:lncRNA
CUAGGAAAUUCUUUUGGGCAAAGAGCUGCCGCUUUGUAUCAUGUGAUCCCAGUGACCUAGACCAAGCUUAUUGGAACUUUCAAAUUUAAUCAGCUAUAAGCUGGCUUUCUAUUACUUUUAAGAUGAGGAAUCUGUGGGACUUGGCCAAGGUCACAUACCUAAUACAUGGUAACGUGGAGAUGGAACCCAAGGAUGGUUGAUUCCAGCCUGUACUCUUGACAGAAUGCACAAUGCAGAAGUUCAGUGUUUCAGGAAUUUGGCAGAAACUGGCCCAGUGAAAGCAGGUCUUACAGCAUUCCCUUCUGCUCAAAGGGAGAACUGCCCAGUCUCCUUUCUAAGGCGAAUCAUGCCACCCGCACAUUGUCAAUCAUAUUGCUGCCCGUCACCUCUGAAUAAUUCUUUUUCUUUUUAUCAGUUAACGCAGCAUUUGUUAUCUAACACAAUUCCCAAAGGUCUUCUGAGCACUUCCUGGAGUUGUUAUGUGUGUGAGUCAGGAUAUCAGCAAACGUAUUUGGAGGAGGUUAACAAUUUGUUCUAAUAAAUUCAUCAAUUAAGCUGCCAGAUGGAGAUGUGUGUGUUGGCCUCCACCACAUCAUCAACAUCUCUGCUCAAAUUCUAGUGAGCUCUGAGUGCUCCAUUACCCAUUGCAUUCUGCCCCAUUUGAUCCAGGCGCGUUUGCCACUUUGAUGCCUUCACAGUACAAACAAGGCUCGAAGGAUGUGAGACACAAAAUGAUCAGAAGGUAAACUAUUACCAAGAUGCAUCACCAUGUAUACACUAACGAUCUCUUGAGAGUUUUAGACAAUAAAUAGAAGAAACCACUAAACAAGUAGAAGCUUAGAGAGAGUGGAGAUAUUACUCAUUUCAAAGCAAUGAUUAAGAAGUGGAUGCUUUUUACUAGAAAAUGCUUUUUUGGAGCCUGACAACAAAUAAUUUUUGAAUAAAAAUGAGGUAAAUGUUUUCAAGACUUCAUAAAUUUAAAAACUCAUUUAAAAGUUUAUAAAAGUUUUUGUUGUGAAAUGCACAUACUAAUAUAUAUGCAUAUAGUUUAUUGAACAAUAAUAAAAUAUACCCUUCCACACAUUAUUAGACUAAGAGAUAAAAUAUUACCAGUAUUUUAGGAGCUCCAAGAGUGCACUUCAACACAAAUCUUUCUCUUAAACCCUGAAAUUUGUGUUAUUCUGUUGUUGUUACUAAUAAUUCUUACCUACUUGUGUCCAUGACUAUACAUUCCUUAGUUUUUCCUAUUUUUCAAAUUUAUAUAAAUGGACUUUGCUGAAGGAAGUCAUCUGUGAUUUCAGUCUUUCAGUCAAUUACGUGAUUAGGAUAUUCAUCCAGGUGGAUGUAUCUUACAGUAUUCCUUUUGAUUAGAAUGGAGUAUUACAUUGUGUGCAUAUAAUAAUUUUAUCUAUACCAGUGUUAGGAAACAUAUAGGUUGAUUCCUGUGCUUUGGUAUAAAGAAGAAUCCGCUGAGGAACAUUCCUGUAUUUGUGUCCUAGUGCUAUGGAAUACAAUGGCUGUUUUGUUUGUCACCGUUAGUAGUAAUACGAAUUUAUUUUCUAAAAGUGUUGUGCUGGUUUCAUACUGUCGCAGUUUGGAGUUCUCAAUACUUCACAUCAUCUACAACCCAACAUACUGUCUAAUUUUGUAAAUGUGAAUGGUGUGAAAUCACUUACUAUUGUGAUUUUAAUUUACCUUUCUUUGAUUAACCACGAGGUAUGUGGUAAUGUA